AUUGAACGCUGGCGGAAUGCUUUACACAUGCAAGUCGAACGGCAGCACGGGGCAACCUGGUGGCGAGUGGCGAACGGGUGAGUAAUACAUCGGAACGUGCCCAAUCGUGGGGGAUAACGUAGCGAAAGUUACGCUAAUACCGCAUACGAUCUACGGAUGAAAGCGGGGGAUCGCAAGACCUCGCGCGAAUGGAGAGGCCGAUGUCAGAUUAGGUAGUUGGAGGGGUAAAGGCUCACCAAGCCAACGAUCUGUAGCUGGUCUGAGAGGACGACCCGCCACACUGGGACUGAGACACGGCCCAGACUCCUACGGGAGGCAGCAGUGGGGAAUUUUGGACAAUGGGCGCAAGCCUGAUCCAGCCAUUCCGCGUGCAGGAUGAAGGCCUUCGGGUUGUAAACUGCUUUUGUACGGAACGAAACGGCUCUCUCUAAUACAGGGGGCUAAUGACGGUACCGUAAGAAUAAGCACCGGCUAACUACGUGCCAGCCGCCGCAGUAACAC
rnacentral:rRNA from 1 species